rnacentral:rRNA from 1 species
CCUACGGGUGGCAGCAGUCGAGAAUCAUUCACAAUGGGGGAAACCCUGAUGGGGCGACGCCGCGUGGGGGAAUGAAGGUCUUCGGAUUGUAAACCCCUGUCAUGUGGGAGCAAAUUAAAAAGAUAGUACCACAAGAGGAAGAGACGGCUAACUCUGUGCGAGCAGCCGCGGGUAUACAGAGGUCUCAAGCGUUGUUCGGAAUCACUGGGCGUAAAGCGUGCGUAGGCUGUUUCGUAAGUCGUGUGUGAAAGGGGCGGGCUCAACCCGCGGACGGCCCAUGAUACUGCGAGACUAGAGUAAGGGAGGGGGAACCGGAAUUCUCGGUGUAGCAGUGAAAUGCGUAGAUAUCGGGAGGAACACGCGUGGCGAAGGCGGGUUCCUGGACAUUAACUGACGCUGAGGCACGAAGGCCAGGGGAGCGAAAGGGAUUAGAUACCCGAGUAGUC